rnacentral:rRNA from 1 species
GAGAAUGGCCAAACACUUGAUAAAGCCUGGUCUCAUCAGAUCUUUGAAGCUAAGCAGGGUCAGGCCUGGUUACUACUUAGAUGGGAGACCUAGAGAGGCUCUAAUGCCUUCUGU